rnacentral:lncRNA from 1 species
AAAGGGAAAACAAUUCUAUUGAUUGAAUGAUUGAAUUUUCACAUUAUGAUGCAGUAGCAUCUAUAUAUAGGCACAGUUGGCAGUUACAACAGCUGGCAAGCUUAACCUCGCCCACCAACAAAAAGAGAUGGUUCAAGGGGCUAGGCUCACCAGGUGUUGUGGGCUGGAGGUGCAGCGGCCCGUGAUCCCUCCACUGUCAAGAGUAGGAAGUGUUCGCUGCUCUGUGAAACCAGCCUCACGCUAUACCCUCCUGUCUAAGACACACAAGACUUGUGCCUUCGCACAAGUCCCAUGGGUCAACUCACAACUUGGAGCGGGCAGGCCAACAUGGUGCAACUACCAACCCAACCUGUUAAGCCUUAGCCAUGUUCCAUCACCUUGAUGCCCCCACAUGGGUCACAAGCUGGCGCAACUCAGCUCGGCGAACUAACUAGCAUGUCAGACAUUUAUAAGCACUUGCUUGUGUGAUAUUCUAGGCAAUGUGGGACUUAAAUGGAUCCAAAAUGGUGUAAUAUUAUGUUGGAACAUAUGUGAAAUAAUAAUAAUACUAGAGAAGAAAUUGCACUUGGUCUCUAUUGCAUAUUGGAAAACAAGACAAAGAAAUCGAUUUUAAGUCGGGGAGUCUUAUUUCUAUAGUAGUAAGCCUUCUCUCAAAUCGUUUUCCCGACGCUCUGCCAAUUCUUUUUUCCUUAAGACAGUUUUGCAUAUGAAUUUUUUACCAUAUCUCAAACAUUUUGAUUAUGUCCAAAAAUAUGUUGUACAUUUUUCUUCCAUAUUCACCAUUUGUUUGAUAUAGUUUGCAUACAAGCAUGCUAUUAAAUCAUUGCAGUUAUGCUGCAAACAAUUAUAUGACAGGAAAAUACGGUCAAUGCGAUGUUGAGGAUACCUCAAAAUACUUUUAUGCUGCAUUUGUAGUUCCAUAAUGCUUAUGAUAAAAUAUCACAAAUAGUAAUUGUGUAAAUAAAGCAUGAGAUACUUUUGAAAUUAAAAAACAGUAUAUUAAAAUUUCAUGUUGAAAGCAUUAUCGGAACAUACUUGGAGCAAUAUAAUCAUGGGUGCCAGCAAAAAAGCUAUUUUUAAGCAAACCUUGCAACACCAAAUUCAGCAUUUUUCUCAUAAUCUUCAUCAAGCAAGAUGUUGCUAGACUUUAGAUCCCUACGAAUAACAAACAGGUGGAGAACAAUCGUGGUGCAAAUAACAAAUCCCUUUUGCACCUCCCAAUGCAAUUUUAUACCUGUGAUUCCAAUCCCAUGCAACCUUCUCAUACUUUCUAUUUCUAUGAAGAGCUUCAAAAGGAUUACCAUUUUGCAUAUACUCAAAAACUAAAAGGUUGGUCCCUUCUUUAAAAAAACAAGCAUAGAUCAUCACCUAAAAUCUCCAUUUCUACAGCUAAAACCCUCAUACCAUCACCUUUCUCUAGUUGCUUCACAGCCACUACCAUCUCGAUAAACCUUUAUGUUACCACCAUGGCCGAUUAAAGUAUCUACAUCCAAAUGACUUAUUUCAUUAGUAUCAAUAUCCACUUGGUGGAAAGAUGCUAGUUUCCAUUUUUUACUUGCUUCCAUGGCAUUUUUGUAACUUUUUUGCUCUUCGAAUCCCGAUGCUUCUACAUUUCAAAACCACAACAAUGAAGAUAAGAACAAUUAAUGACCAAGAGCAUUACAUAUUUAUAACCAAAGCGCAUUCUUAUAUGAAAAUGAUCUUUAUCACAAAUCUUCAAAUCAGAAUCCGAUGAACUUUUUGGAAUUUUCUCAACACAUGAAUGAACCUUUGUUUCCAACAAAAACAGAAGUCUAGAUGUUGAACAUUUUGAUUCAUUCAUAUCUCAAACAUUAUGGAUCAAAAGUGUAUCAAAGUCAUAUUUAUACUCAAACAUUAUAAUGAAUGUGAUUAGUAGCCAUUAGUCAUGACUGUAGGCUAAAUGGAUUAUGAGAAAAGCUUAUAAUGCAUUAUUAAAAGUAGAGGUUGGUAGUAAUAACUUGCUUUGAGCAUGAUAUGAUAUCACUAAUCUCAAAGUACUAAAGUCAUAUAUAUUCAAUAUCAAACUCCAGAAUCAUAAGCUCAAUCUUGACAAAAUAAGUUCAUGUUUGGAUAAACAACUCAAUUAAGGGAUUCUCAUAAAAAUGCUUGUGUAUAAGCUAUUCAAUAUGACAAAAGAUAAACUAAAUUUAAAAUGUUUUCAUACAAACUAUAAGCAAUUUUUAUAAACUAUGACGGAAAGAUGUCAAAAUAAGCUGAAAAAAGAGAUAGACAUGUGAUAUGCUAGGACUGAUGAAAUAGAUAACUCAAUUAAAAGAUACCCUAAGCUUUCAAUACAAAAUAACUAACUUGAAGAUGAUAAGCUAGUACUUAUCUCCAUGGUUUUAAAAAACGGUCUGUUACCGCGGAAAUGGCGGUAACGGCAGAGACAAAACAGUAUCGAAAGAUGCUGAUAAUGAUUAUUCACUACUUUUGUGAUAAAGAAUAAAUUAUGAUUGAUUCACGCCACGAUGACCGCAAUCGGCGGAGUAACACCUAUACAUACCAAAAUCAUAAAAAUCAUUGUCGUUUUAAACCUUGCUUAUCACAAAGCUGAGAUGACGGUUGAAUCUCAAAAAGGAAGGGUUUUGAGAAAUGGGUAUUUGAGAGACAAUAAGAAAAAGGAACGGUUCUUGAAGAAAAAUGAGCAGUGAUGUUGUUAGGCUCAAAACUUUGAUUUUUGUUUUCAACUCUUUGAAUUUGUGAAAAGAUUAAAAGGAGCGAGUGGCAGCUCUCCCAAUUCCUUUUACCCGGGAAAUUUUAUAGUUCAUUUUUAUAUGUAUUUAUAUUUUUAAAUUAUUACAUCCCUCCCUUUAAUUCAAUUAUAGAAUGUGAUCUUAUGAGUUUUUAAUUAAUUCAAUUUCUAUGAUUUACUUAUAGGUUAAUUGUUUUAUGAUUUGCAUUACCUUAAUUGAAUAAAUUUGUAUUGAUAGAAUUUUAGGCAUAAAGGGUGUGACACAUUUAAGAGUGUGUUAAUUUAAUACUUUAACUCUUUUAUUUAAAUUAUGAAAGUAUUAAUAAAUUAUAAUAUUAGAAUUACCUAAUCUUAUAAGUGUCACCAUUAAAACAAUAUAUAUUAAUUAGAACUAUUUUAAAAGGAAAAGUUGUAAAUACUAGAACCAACAAAUGUUGUGAACUUGAGAUGCAGUGGUCUGUGAUCCCUACUGUCUUGUCUAAGACCUAUAAGACUCGGGCCUUAGCUCAAGUACUAUGGCUCAAAUCUUAACUUUUUGAAUGGGUAGGCCAGGAGUGUGCAGCCACCAGCCUAAACUGUCGAGUUUAAUUUGUUCCAUCACCUUGGUGGCCCCAUAUGGGUCAUAACAUGGUGCUACGACACCUACAUGUGUGAUAUUUUAGCCAAUGUGAGACUUAAUGGAUAUAAAUCUGUAUUGUAUUCAGAUGGAACAUGGUUUUUUAAAUGACUUACUUUGAACUCGACACUCCUCAAUCACUUUUGACAUGUCAUAACACUAACCAUUGAAAAGAUGUUAUUGAGGGAUCAGUUCUACAUAUAUAGAGAGGGAUUACUGGACCAAAUUAGUGAGGGAUUUAAUCUAUUCAAAAAGUUAUACACUCACAAAAAUGAUCCAAAACCAAUGACAGUAGUGAAAAAACAAUAAAUUUUUGGUUAGUUUUUAACUGGAGAUGAAAUAAAUGAAUUGAAACAGUAAUAGUUCUUAAAGUAUUGAAGAUCUCACUUGAGUGCCUGAUAGAAUAUCAACACCAUGUUUGGCAUGGUUUAACGCGUGGAUCAUUGUGAUUAAGGUUGAUCUUGCAUCACCUUCUUCAUAGACACUUGUGAGAUAGUUGUGCAGCUCAAUCAACCCCUAACAAUGGUUAAGAAUAUAAAGAGAACAAGAAUAGUUAUUUUUUGAUACUAUAUAAUUAAGAAUUGAAUAUUACUUUGUGGUCCAUUGCUGCAACUUCGUCCAUUACUCCUUUAAACCAUUCAAAAGAUCCAGGUUCUCUGGUAACCCAAUAAAAGAAAGCAUUUGUAAUCCUUUGCGAUCUCUUGUGUCUUCCUGGCGUUACAUUUGAAGAGGUGAAACUAAUGAAACUCUCAUCUGAUUUUGUUGUUUCUGUGUUUGAGUCCUGCACUUGGCCUUGUUAAAGUUUACAGGUGAUGACAAAAUGUAAUCAACAUUAUAAAAAUAACUAAACAAGAGCAAGGAGUGUACCGUUUGUUCGUCAAUUGUUCUCGUGUCACUUAGAAGAUCUCUGAGAAUACUAAUGAAGGGAGUUGCUCCAAUGCCUAAUCCUAUGAGCAGCAAUACAUCAAAAUUCUGGUAAUCUUGUGCUGGAGCUUCGUAAGGGCCAUCUACGAGCAGCUUCGGCUGUCUGUAACAAAAUUCUAGUUUGAAUGAUUUACAAUUUUGUAAGUUGAAAUUAUUAGAAAGCAUAUGAGUUGAAGUUUUAAAGUAUAGUCACGUCAUAAUAUUUAAUUUUGUGAAGAAUUAUAAUCAAAUGCGGUUGAUGCAGCCUGAAAACUUUGAUAAAAUUCUUAAAUUUCAGUUCUAUUAUAAACCCUUUUUUAAAAACUUUUACAUGAUCUAUACUUACCCUAUUUGAUCCAUUUUUAUUAGUUCUCCGAAUGUUGCGCUGGAAUUUACCGGAGCCAAUUGGUCAUCUUCGGUGAAAAGUAGCUUAAGUUCUUGUGUCCAAUCACCUACCAUUCGAAUGUGAACACUUAGCUAAUCAUCUCCAGGUGCUGAUGUAAUAGAGAAUGGGUGCCUAAAAAAUCAAGAUCUUAUUUGCAUGUGCUAGUGGACUGUAAAAUUUAGGAUGAUUAAAAAUUGACCUAAGAGAAGAACCACACUCACCACUCAAAUGGAGAGAUUUUCGGGCAUUGUAAAAAUAUGUACUGACCACUUUUGUACUUGAAUCCAUUAGGCUUUGACAUGAUUAAGCUGAAGACAUUUCCUGGUAGCACUGAAACCUGCUAAGUCAAAUUUAGAAAAAUUAAAUGGAAGUUAUUAUCAAACCAUUAAAAGCAGACAAUGGAGUGUGGUUUAUUUUUAUUACCUUCAAAACUUUUACUGCAUAGUGUUGCGAUCUACGAGUUCGUAGAGUACGUUCUGCAAUGCACAGCAACAACGGAACAGAGAUAUACAUCCAUGUCUAACAUCAAAAGUAAAAAAUAUGUUAUUGUACAUUCAUCAUCGCUCACUAUUCUUCCAUACCCACGAAGAUUGUGGUCAAAGUUCUUACUGUUUUCUGGUACCACUUAUGUGUCAAAUUCAAGAAAGAUCCAUGAAUGAACAGAAGAAUGUAAACAAUACCGAGAAGAUUGUCUAAAACUAACUAAUGUUAUAACCAACUGACUUAUCUAACACUAUAUGUAUCUAUUAAAGAAUAUACUUCCAUUAUGAAAUCUCCUAGCUGUUAUAAUUAUAGUUCUCAUAAAAUGAUGGAGGUAUACAAAAAAACACAUAUAGAGAUUGUGAUAAAUGUUCAUUCAUUAGUAAAAAGAAUGACUACUAGUGUAUGAGUAUAUAUACAAGGUUAUACAUAAUCAUAUACACAAAUGAACUCUAACACUCUCCCUCAACAUUAAGGUAUAGAAUUCUACUCAAAAGUUUAUAGUAAAUUAACGUUUACCAAUGAAGUUGUUAUCCAAUGCAUGCUAAGUUAAAAUUUUCCAUUUUGGUUUAUUAAAAAGGAUCUUCAGUUGCAAUAAAUUUUGACUGUUCUGCCAUAACAAACAGCUAUCAUUUUUAUAUAAAAAAUAGGUUUCACUUGAACUGAACUAGCAAUUCUGCAAAGAAAAAAAGGAGAAGACUUAGUAGGUAGCAUUUAAAAAACAAAUCUUUUCACACUAAGAUCUUUAUCAAGCACACUAACUAGAACACAAAACAUUAUUAGUCAUCAAAUCCAUAUUUUAUUAAACACUGUCAAUACUUGCUCUGUUAUUGUCCUUUAGCUUACUUCACUAAAUCAUGUGCUUUGAGAAUAAAGCCUAAUAAUGCAUUAAAGUCCCACAUCGCGAUAUAACAAAGAAGCAAAAAAGAUGUCAGAUAUAAAACACACAAUUAGCAUACAUUUCAACUCAUACCUUUCUCGGCCUUUUGGCUAAGAUCAAGUGUAGUAUCUGUUCUUAUCAGUUUAAUAUCUGAUAUGUGAGCCAAUGGUUCACACGAUAUUAAAUUUAUUUCUUGAGGGGGAGAGUCCACUACAAUAGCUUGCUAUUGGGUCUCUCAAGUGUUGCUUUUGCGUUGCACUAUAGCAAUAGCCCGACACACCCCACCAAAUUUAGUUCAAAUUAUAAUCUUAUUUUCUGUUUUGACAUUUUACAUUACUUCAUAAUUUACUACUGUAAAACUUGUAUAAUCAUAUUUUAUCUUUACAGCAUGUUAUCUAAGCAGUUUCAAAAUGAUUUAUCACAAAUAAAGAAUUCACUACUAUAAAAUGAUUUAUCACAAAUAAAGAAUUUAUAUCUAAGCAGUUUCCAAGCCAGCAUGAUAAUCAUAAUUGUCAAGUCUUUGUGCUCUUAAAAAAACUCAACAUCCCUUCAAAUAAACUCAUGUUUUAAUUUGAUCAUAUUGAAAAACGUUAUAAUCCAGGCACAGCUGAGCUGAAAGUGUCCACAAAACAACUCGCUAUCAGGCACAACUGAGCUGAAAGUGUCCAUAAAACAACUCGCUACCAAGCACAGCUGAGCUGAAAGUGUCCACAAAACAACUUGCUUAAAGAUCAGCUCUCACACCCACUUCAAUGCUGCUAACAUGCCUGAUGCUUGUCCGAUAUCAACUGUCAUAUAACUGGUUGCAACCGCAGAGUUUUGGCUCCCACCAACAUAACCAACUCGUUCCUACUUUGAUAUUGCAUUUAACAUGUGAAAGAUUUUCUCUCCAAAUGUUUCUAUUUAGCAGCAGUGCAUGCUUUGUGUCACCAACAUAACCAACUCGUUCCUACUUUGAUAUUGCAUUCAAAAUCACGCUUAAUAUAAUCAUUAUGAAUAUGCAUUUCUUGCAAUUAUGAAAUCGCACAAUUGACAAAGUCAACAUUUUGGACCAUCUGAUCAAGAUUUGAUGUCUCACAUCCGACCUUGUAUAAUAGACUCGAUUACGAAAUCUAAAUGUAGACCAUCUAAUCUUAAUUAAUUCAACAAUCUAGAUUGUACGACUGGCAGAUGAGGGAUUUCCUGACUACAUGGGUUCGAAUCCGCAAAUGCUUAUAAUAAAAUAACACAAAUAAUGAUUGUGUAAAUAAAAAAUGAGAUACUUUUGAAACUAAAACACAGUGUAUUGAAAUUUGUUGUUGAAAGCAUUAUCAUAACAUACCUGGAGCAAUAUAACCAUCACCUUGGUCUAGUUGCUUCACAGCCACUAUCAUGCCGUUUUUCUUCAACGCGACUUGAUAAAUCUUUCUGUUGCCACCAUGGCGGAAUAAAUUAUCUUCAUCCAAAUGACUUAUUUCCUCAACUCCCAAUAUUGAGUUGGUGAAAAGAUGUUAGUUUCCAUUUUUUAAACUUUUUUCUUUUGGAAUCCUUACCCUUCUACAGAUCAAAACCACGGCGAUGAAGAUAACAACAAUGAUCAAGAACAUUACAUAUUUAUAACCAAACAUAAGUCUUUUAUGAUCAUAAUCUUUAUCACAAAUGUUCAAAUCAGCACUUUGGAUGGAGGGAGAGCGUGUCAAAAUAAGUUGAAAACAAGAGAUAUACAUGUUAUAACACUAAUCCAAAAAUGUUGCAGCCGAUACUGCCAUCAUAGGCAAGCAAGGAUUCAAUCAAAUAGCGAUUGACUGAAAAUACAGGAAAAUAACAUUCCAAGAUGCAAAAUGCAGAUUAACAUUUCAUUAAAAAACAUGUUUCUGCCAUGUUUAUUAUCUAUGCUUAUCACCAACCCUUUAUUCCCUAUUAUAAUAAGCAAUAGAGUAAUAAAGAAAAAGAUUUACUUAAUCCAUCACAACCUUAAAGAUUUAUGUAUUUUAAAGUUGAACAGAAUUGGAAAAGGGAAAACAAUUCUAUUGAUUGAAUGAUUGAAUUUUCACAUUAUGAUGCAGUAGCAUCUAUAUAUAGGCACAGUUGGCAGUUACAACAGCUGGCAAGCUUAACCUCGCCCACCAACAAAAAGAGAUGGUUCAAGGGGCUAGGCUCACCAGGUGUUGUGGGCUGGAGGUGCAGCGGCCCGUGAUCCCUCCACUGUCAAGAGUAGGAAGUGUUCGCUGCUCUGUGAAACCAGCCUCACGCUAUACCCUCCUGUCUAAGACACACAAGACUUGUGCCUUCGCACAAGUCCCAUGGGUCAACUCACAACUUGGAGCGGGCAGGCCAACAUGGUGCAACCACCAACCCAACCUGUUAAGGUUUAGCCAUGUUCCAUCACCUUGAUGCCCCCACAUGGGUCACAAGCUGGCGCAACUCAGCUCGGCGAACUAACUAGCAUGUCAGACAUUUAUAAGCACUUGCCUGUGUGAUAUUCUAGGCAAUGUGGGACUUAAAUGGAUCCAAAAUGGUGUAGUAUUAUGUUGGAACAUAUGUGAAAUAAUAAUAAUACUAGAGAAGAAAUUGCACUUAGUCUCUAUUGCAUAUUGGAAAACAAGACAAAAAGAAAUUGAUUUUAAGUCGGGGAGUCUUAUUUCUAUAGUAGCAAGCCUUCUCUCAAAUCGUUUUCCCGACGCUCUGCCAAUUCUUUUUUCCUUAAGACAGUUUUGCAUAUGAAAUUUUUAACAUAUCUCAAACAUUUUGAUUAUGUCCAAAAAUAUGUUGUACAUUGUUCUUCCAUAUUCACCAUUUGUUUGAUAUAGUUUGCAUACAAG